ensembl:lncRNA
CGCGCAGUGUGUUUGACCUCAGAUAAUCAGAGACAGAAAGAGACAGAAAGAGAGAGAAAGAGAGACAGAGACAGAGACAGAAGAGACAGAAGAGACAGAAAGAGAGACAGAGACAGAAGAGACAGAAGAGACAGAAAGAGAGAGAAAGAGAGACAGACGCGGAGACAGAAGACUCGUCCCUCAGGAUGCAGAUCUCCACUGGUUUGGUGCUCCUCCUCCUCCUGCAGGUGGCGCCGCUCUGUGGACUCGUGCUGCUCUGUUCAGUCACAGCGCUCCCCGGUGGACUCUACCAGUAUCACCUCAACUCCACCCCCCCACAAGACUGCCCCGACCAGAGCUGGGAGGACGCCAACCACACGGCCAUAACUCAGGGAUCUAACCGCGAUACCACCAAAGUCCAGAGUCUCACUGACCGCACGCUCGUCCUGAAGUUCUGUUUGAGCUACGUCCACUUCUUUGCCCUGUGCCAAACGUUCAUAGAGGCGUCCUGCUCAGUGGUCUGCAGCUCUGACCCUCCUCUGACCUCAGCUCCUCCUCUGACCUCAGCUCCUCCUCUGACCUCAGCUCCUCCUCUUCCUGCUUCUAUCUUCGUCCCGGUUGUCGUCCUGACCUCGGUGCUCGUCGUGGGGCUGGUGCUCGUCGUGGGGCUGGUGCUCGUGUGGUUCCUGUCCCCAAAGUUCAGGCGCUGGAUACGUGGAUUCGCCCAGAGCUGUGUCUCCAAAAGGCCCGAGGAUCCCGGAGCCGAGGAGAGCGGAGCGCCGCUCACUCACGUCACCGCCGCUUAACCGAUGCCGCGGCGGGAUCAAAACACUGAUGGUGCGGUCUCUUUGUGAAACAGCCACGGUCACUCAAAUCAGACGCCACGGUCACUCAAAUCAGACGCCGCGGUCACUCAAAUCAGACGCCGCGGUCACUCAAAUCAGACGCCGCGGUCACUCAAAUCAGACGCCGCGGUCACUCAAAUCAGACGCCGCGGUCACUAACGCCGCGCUCCAGUGUCCUCAGAGCUCAGAGUUUACAUUUAAGUGUAAAUUUAAGAUUCAAGAAUCAUUUUGACUAUUUCAUCUUUUCAAUAUAUUUAAACUUGGAUAAAGUUUUAGCCAGUUUUGAACGCACCAGCGCCCCCAUGUGGCCGUUUCACCGAACACCUGAAAGUGUUUUUAUCCCUCGGCUCAUUAUCUCUGCUUCUGCUUCUGCUUCUGCUUCUGCUUCUGCUUCUGCUUCUGCUUCUGCUUCUGUUUGUUGUGCUACACUUUGGGCACAGAUCUUUGGUGAAUCUGGGAUGUUGUUCCACAUCUUGGUUUGGAGUCUGGCUCCCUCUAGUGUCCACAGGACGCCAGGUUUUCCCAAUCCAAGUUUGAACAGAUCCAGACGUGCGGCUUUAGUUUUGACUAAACGCACAGAGUGAGAGUCAGUACAGUUACAAACAUAGUGUCAUUAUAACACUGUGAUUAUACUGUAAUUAUACAG